rnacentral:rRNA from 1 species
UACAGAGGUCUCAAGCGUUGUUCGGAUUCAUUGGGCGUAAAGAGCUCGUAGGCGGUUCGGCAAGUCGGGUGUGAAACCCCCAGGCUCAACCUGGGGACGCCACCCGAUACUGCUGUGACUUGAGUCCGGUAGGGGAGCGUGGAAUUCCUGGUGUAGCGGUGAAAUGCGCAGAUAUCAGGAGGAACACCAGCGGCGAAGGCGGCGCUCUGGGCCGGAACUGACGCUGAGGAGCGAAAGCGUGGGUAGCAAACAGG